rnacentral:rRNA from 1 species
AACGUAGGUGGCGAGCGUUAUCCGGAUUUACUGGGCGUAAAGGGUGUGCAGGCGGGCUGUUAAGUGGUGUAUGAAAUAUCCCGGCUCAACCGGGAGAGGUUAUGCCAGACUGGCAGUCUAGAGAGCGAGAGAGGGACGGUGGAAUUCCGGGUGUAGUGGUGAAAUGCGUAGAGAUCCGGAGGACCCAGAGGCGAAGGCGGCGUCCUGGCUCGCAUCUGACGCUCAGACACGACAGCAUGGGGAGCGAACGGG